GGUGUGUUUCUCGUAGACUGUAUGAAAUGGUGUUUUUUUAAGUUGUGGAAAUGAUUAACGGUGAAUAAUUUAACCAGUGGGCCGCCCUGUGAAUAAAAAUCUCCGUAUAUGCUUCCAAACAGCUUGACACGUUUGUAUGGUGUCACGCAGCAAGAGACAGCAAGGAGAAGCUAACAGACUGGACUGAUUUUAUUCUUUGAGAAUGAACAAGCAGAGAAGUUGAACCUGGAGCAGAUUGUGAAGAACCCUGCGGUGGCACCAGGAUUUUACUGGACCAAGUGACGUUCAGACAGUGGACAUCGCCACACAUAUCUCCAGAUGCUCUCUGUGACCGCCCCACCAUACCAGACACACCCCCCUCCAGCUUCGGAUUCCCUUCACCACCAAAAAUUGAACGCUAUGGUUUGGUCUCCACCAUCACCUCCUGAGGCAAAUAUCUGUCUCUUUAGCAGCUCAAUGCUCCACUAUGUCCAGAAGCUAGUCGUCA